UACGGAGGGGGCUAGCGUUGUUCGGAAUUGCUGGGCGUAAAGCGCACGUAGGCGGCUUUGUAAGUUAGAGGUGAAAGCCCAGGGCUCAACCCUGGAAUUGCCUUUAAGACUGCAUCGCUUGAACAUCGGAGAGGUAAGUGGAAUUCCGAGUGUAGAGGUGAAAUUCGUAGAUAUUCGGAAGAACACCAGUGGCGAAGGCGACUCACUGGACACAUAUUGACGCUGAGGUGCGAAAGCGUGGGGAGCAAACAGG
rnacentral:rRNA from 1 species